CUGCGGACUUAAGAAAUUUGAGCCUUAGUGGGGAAACUUGCUAAGUGAAUGCUCUCAAAUUCAGGGAAACCUAAGUCUGAUGCAUAUUUUAGGCAUUUGAGAUAGGGCAAUCCUGAGCCAAGCCGUUUUUCAUCACGGGAGCGGAAGGUGCAGAGACUCGACGGGAGCUACCCAACCAUGAUUCGUCAAAGGGGGUAAAGAGAGAGUCCAAUUCUCAACACUUGCGG
rnacentral:ncRNA from 1 species